UAAAGAAAAUAAUAAUCAUUGAUUUUGUAGUACGUCAGCGAGCUACUUUGAUAAAUUAACCGAGCUGAGUGCAGCCGGUCAACAGAGUCAGCGUUGUCGCGGCAACAAUGCCCGGCGUCGCUGACUUUUCAAAAGGUGACUGCUUUUAUUUCUGUCCAAAAGCAACAGCUGGAGAGAGUGAUGUUUAUUUGCCGCGAGGCGUGAACUCUCCGCACCCGGGAAAUGGACGCCUGAGUGUACGCCUUUGCGGAGGUGAGGGUCGCACAAGAAGAUAAGGUGGGUGCGAUUUGGCCAGCUGAGAGCGACUGUCAGCUUGCAAGUGUGUGUGUGUGUUUGCAGUCUAGGUGACGCCUGUGAGCGCUGCAACAGAUGGGCCACUUUAGCCGUCAGCAUGCUUCAACACUCAACACACACAAAGACACCAAGUGACCAAGCACAUUUUGGAUACAUACACCAUGUUUAUAAUUAUGCAAAUGAGACUUUUUUUUGCCCACAUUUUUAUAGUCUAUCCUAAUGGCCUCAUCAAGUCAUUAAAAGUUACAACAUAAUCAGAAUGUUUUUAAACAAACCUUUCUGUGAUAACAGAUUUUUUUUGUUCUGAAAUUAAAAACAUCUAAACAGGUCAAGUUAGAUUCUAACAUUGGGGCUUUCUUUGAGAGCAGCUUGGAGAAUUUUGCAUCCGUUUUUCUUUUUUCUUUCAAUGUUUUACCAGGUAAGCCAAUUGAGAACACUUUCUCAUUUACAAUGGUGACCUGAAGGCAAAGUGUGUGAAGUGUCUUCCCCAAAGACACAACGACAUGUGACUGACAGAGCUGGGAUCGAACCGCCAACCCUCCAGUUACCACUCUACUGCCUGAGCCACAGCCGCCACAAUUUAUUGGUACACAAAUUAACCUACCACAACAAAUGGAACAAAAGUACCGAAGAUUGGUGCCAAUGAGUCCCAGGGUGAGAAGUUCGGUCAUCCGGGAGAAGCUCGGAGUAGAGUCGAUACUCCUCCACGUUGAGAGGAGCCAGAUGAGGUGGCUCGGGCAUCUCAUCAGGAUGCCUCCUGGACGCCUCCCUGGGGAGGUGUUCCGGGCAUGUCCCACCGGUAGGAGACCUCGGGGACGACCCAGGACGCGCUGGAGAGACUAUGUCUCUCAGCUGGCCUGGGAACGCCUUGGGAUCCCCCGGGAUGAGCUAGACGAAGUGGCUGGGGAGAGGGAAGUCUGGGAGUCCCUCCUGAAGCUGCUACCCCCGCGACCCGACCCCGGAUAAGCGGAAGAAGAUGGAUGGAUGUUUGCAUUUUUUUUUUUUAAAUCACCGCUGGAUUAAUUUGCCUGGAGCCAACAUUGGCCAUCAAACAUUGAUCAUGUGAUCGCUACUAAGCUGUUGUUGCAGCGCAAAUUGUCACGAUUGAGCUUGAUCCUCCUUAGCGGGAUGCUCGCUCGUUUAAUUAGAACGCGCUUAUUCUCUAAGUCAACAUUCACUCAACUACGAGGACUACGACUUGGUCUCUUUGAUAAACAGCUGAUGUGGCAUCCAAUAUUCAGACUGCAGGCACACACACCAUGCCGCUAAAUACUUAAUGGGCUAUAUUUAGCACAUUAUUGUUGUUGUGUUUUUUUAAUGAGGUUGGCAGCGGAAAAGUGGGAGUUUCUAUUUGCCGGUCGCAUUUGCUUGGAGUGGCCCGUGUCUUUGGAGUGCGCAAGGUCGCAGAGAUCUAUGCGGGUCCCCCACUCCAGACAGUAAUUACAUAUAGCCUACAGAGAGAGAGGCCAACGCCGAGGGAAGAAGACAAAAAAUAACUCGGGCGGGGUUGGAAUGGUGUGAUAGCCCUUUGAAGGGGAGAUAAUGUGUGUGGGGAAAGUGAGACAAUGCCAGAUAAAUGAGUACAUUAACAGAUAAAGAGCCGUCCAAUGAAGUGAGGAUUAAGGCGCGCAAUCCCUCACGCUGGCUGGCGAUUUGGCAAAGAAGAAGAAAAAAAAAACGCUCCAAACGUGAAAUUAAUCACUUAUCGAGCGCGUGUAAAGAUAGCCAUGCAUGAAGAAAGCUGCACUUAUGAGUUAUUAAAAGGGGAAUAAUUAAAAUGGGAAAAUGGGAGGGUUGGGUUCAAGAGCCGAGUUCGCAUGACCCGCUGAGGGGAUAAAAUGGGAAUUUUCUCGAAGUCAUUUGACAAUCGCUAGGAAGAUGAAAGUGCUGAGGUUAUUUGGUGGGUCUGCACGUGCCCGCUCAAGUGCAAAAACAGCUGUGAGGCCUUUUCAGUUUUUCUUUAUCAAGCCUGCACAACACAGUGAUGGAGCUCGGUAGAAUUUUUAAAUCAAGCCCCUAAAUCCUUUUUAAGUUUGUAACAUAAAAUUUUGUA